rnacentral:RNase_P_RNA from 1 species
CGAGCAUGAAAGGCAAUCGCUGGAGGACGUAUGCGCCUUCAGAGGAAAGUCCGGGCUCCACAGGGCGGUGUGCCGGAUAACGUCCGGCGAGGGCAACCUCCGGGAAAGUGCCAUAGAAACGGAAACCGCCUGUGCAAACAGGCAAGGGUGGAAAGGUGCGGCAAGAGCGCACCAGCGUCCGGGUAACCGGGCGGCUUGGUAAACCCCACACGGAGCAAGACCGAAUAGGGAAGGGAUGAUGCGGCCCGCGGAACCUUCCGGGUUGAGUCGCUGGAGCCGCUCGGCGACGGGCGGCCAAGAUAAAUGAUUGCCACCUUUUAAGGAACAGAACCCGGCUUAUUGAGUGCUCGCAAA